GAACGCUUGUCGCAGGCCUAAACAUGCAAGUCGAGCGGUUGAGGUAGCUUGCUACCGAAGCAUCGGCCAACGGGUGAGUAAUACAUGGGAAUCUGCCUGGUAGUGGGGGACAACGUUUCGAAAGGAACGCUAAUACCGCAUACGCCCUACGGGGGAAAGGGGGGGAUCGCAAGACCUCUCGCUAUCAGAUGAGCCCAUGUCGGAUUAGCUAGUUGGUGGGGUAAAGGCCUACCAAGGCGACGAUCCGUAACUGGUCUGAGAGGACGGCCAGCCACACUGGAACUGAGACACGGUCCAGACUCCUACGGGAGGCAGCAGUGGG
rnacentral:rRNA from 1 species